ACGUCGAAUCUUAAUCGCAAGCUCUUCGUAUUAUUAACGAAGUGAUCAACAAAUGUUUAUCUAUUGGACGUUCGUGUCAUCUAUUGGAUUGGACAUCUAAACGCAAAUAUUACCAAUAGAAUAAACAAUGAUGUCAUAAAAGAUACGUUGGAAGAAUUUAUAAGAGUAGGAAAACGCAUGAUACACCACUGUAUGCAAACCUUCAGUAUGUCAGACGCUGCAUUGGCGGCAGACAGGGUGUUUCAUAACACGCAUUAAUUAUUCUCGCAAGAGUGGGCAAACCAAUAAAUUAUACUAUUGCCGUAUGCAAGAUUGUUUGUACAUUUCAUAUGCCAAAUUUAAUAUUUCGGUUAAUUUCACGUAACGAAUAAGGUUGCUAUAAGAUGUUAUUUCCAUUUUGAACUCGACUUCAAAAUUGAUUUUUAAACGGAAAAGGAUAUAAAAUACGUAAAAUUGAAUGUAAAAUAGAUUUACGUUUUUCAAACGGCGUUACAUUACAUAUACAUUAAAAAUAAUAAAUCAAUAUUUGCAAACGUA